UACCAUUCAGUUGAGGACUCUAAUGAGACUGCCAACGACAAGUUGGAGGAAGGUGGGGAUGACGUCAAAUCAUCAUGCCCUUUAUGACCUGGGCUACAAACGUACUACAAUGGCCAAUACAAAGAGAUGCGAAGCGGUGACGUGGAGCGAACCUCAGAAAGUUGGUCUCAGUUCAGAUUGAAGUCUGCAACUCGACUUCAUGAAGGCGGAAUCGCUAGUAAUCGCGGGUCAGCAGACCGCGGUGAAUACGUUCCCGGGUUUU
rnacentral:rRNA from 1 species